AUAUAGCAUAGAAUACUCCUAAGAGUCAUUUAAUAAUAAUUGUAAUUUUAAGAUUAGUUUCUUGCUAACCGAGCAUAGAUUUUUGAAUAUAUAAGGUUGUCAAAUAUUUCGUUUUUGAAUAUAUAGUCAAACAUUUUCUAUUUCUAGAAAACAUGGCUAAAAUUUCAAUGUUUGUUUAUGGUUUGAUGAUCUUUCUUUCCUUAUUUGUUUAUAUAACAAACUGUUCAGCAGAUAUUAUCUGCCAAUCUAAGGAGGAUUGUCCAACUUUCAUGUGUAUCCCUCCUCGAGUUCCCAAGUGCCAUGUGUUUUGUUACUGUGCCUCACUCAUAAAAUAUUAAGUUAAAAAUAAUAGGUAAAAUUGUUUUUGCAAUUCUUUAAUUUUUUUUGGAUAAUUUAUGUUCUAAAAUGCUAACUCUACUAUCUUUUUUAUAUAUAUAAAAAAAUUUCAUCAGAUUCACAUAAAAAAAUUCAUAAAACUCAAAAAAAAAAUUCAUUCAUUCAAAUUUUAAUUUUCCCACCUCUUUUUCUCCUAAAUGCAUGGCCACAAUGCACCAAAUCUCUUUUCAUCUUUAUUAUUUCUUAUCAUCUUCUACAUCUAAACCUACAACUUUUUCUAUUUUUUUAGUUUUUAAAUGAAAAUAUAAGUUUUUUGAUGAAUAUUUUGGAUUUUAAAUUAUUUUUAAUUAAAAAAGAAUAAUAGAGUUAAAUUUUAAAACAUAAAUGUUCAAAUCAGACAAAAAAUAAUAAAAAAGUUAAACUGUCAUCUAAAAUUAAGUUAAUGAAUUGCAGGAACAAUUUUGUCAAAAUAAUAUCAUGUAAUAUUUAAGUUUAUAGUUUUAUUAGCAUGUGAUAAUGGCUAUACUUUUAUGAUUUAUGUCCUAUUUAUGUUUUUAUCGUUGUAAUCUUUCAUUUUAUAGAUGUACCAAAAGCGUACUACUAUUAUAUAAUGGAUUGGAAGUAUUAUUGCA